AGUGAACGCUGGCGGUAGGCCUAACACAUGCAAGUCGAACGGCAGCACAGUAAGAGCUUGCCCUUACGGGUGGCGAAUGGCGGACGGGUCAGGAAUACAUCGGAAUCUACUUUUUCGUGGGGGAUAACGUAGGGAGACUUACGCUAAUACCGCAUCCGCCCUACGGGUGAAAGCAGGGGAUCUUCUGACCUUGCGCGAUUGGAUGAGCCGAUGUCGGGUUAGCUAGUUGGCGGGGUAAAGGCCCACCAAGGCGCGGAUCCGUAGCUGGUCUGAGAGGAUGGUCAGCGACCUGGGAAGGGGGACACGGACCAGAGUCCUAAGAGAGGGAGCAGUGGGGAAUAUGGGACAGUGGGCGGAAGCCUGAUCCAGCGAUACCGCGUGGGUGAAGAAGGCGUUCGGGUUGUAAAGCCCGUUUGUUGGGAAAGAAAAGCAGCAGGUUAAGACGCCGCGGGUGUGACGGUACCCAAAGAAGAAGCACCGGCUAACUUCGUG
rnacentral:rRNA from 1 species